rfam:Pseudomonas sp. ABAC61 scaffold1064_001, whole genome shotgun sequence.
GGUGGCCUGGGACCACUGCGGCAGUCGAUCAUCGCAUGCUGCCGCCGUCACCUCCCCGCCCC